UCCAUCUGUAACCACAACCUAUUUGUACCUUUGCAUUUCUCUAGAGAGAUCACUUUUGAACAAGCUGCUGCGACAUUUAAAAAAAAAAAAAAACCUGAAAGGAUCGCUAUUAAAAUCCAGUCUCUAAAUUAAAAGAGGAAUAUUGAAUAUGAAGGAAUGGCUUAUUACUUCAAAAGGUGCUUCUCCACGUAGAAAAAAGAACGAUAUUGCAGUUGUGUCGGGUUUCUUCGGUUGGAAGAGGAAGGUGUUGUUGGUGUAAGUUAAACCCCAGGUAAACCUGGACUUCUAAGAGAACUGUAGGGAAAUGUGGCGGGAUACCCCGCCCCUGGGCGUGUUUUGUAUUUCUGUUAUUAUUAGUUACAAUGUAUGUAUGUAUUGGUGCACGGGGUGUGGUGUUAUUAGUGUUUAAGAUGUAUGGAUUUGUGCACAGGUGUUUACAGUUGGCAGGGAAGGAUUGAUUGUCUUCCUUGCCAAAGCAGUUCAUGUGCCUAUACCUGAUUGAAUGACUAACAGGCAAUCGAGCCCAGGCACAGCUGCAUAAAUGAGGUGGAAAUCUCUCACUCUGGGGUUGGGUGUUCAGGCAGUAAGAUCGAGACAUGAGU